GGCGGCGUAGCCAAGGGGCAAAGGCGGAGGACUGCAAAUCCUCUAUUCCCGGGUUCAAGUCCCGGCGCCGCCUCCA
rnacentral:tRNA from 1 species